UAUGCAACCUGCCCCUGACAGGAGGAUAGCCCUAGGAAACUGGGAUUAAUACUCCAUGUAUUAUCAAGUAGGCAUCUAUUACAUAAUAAAGCUACGGCGGUCAGGGAUGGGCAUGCGUGCCAUUAGUUAGUUGGUGAGGUAACGGCUCACCAAGGCAUCGAUGGCUAGGGGUUCUGAGAGGAUGAUCCCCCACACUGGUACUGAGACACGGACCAGACUCCUACGGGAGGCAGCAGUGAGGAAUAUUGGUCAAUGGGCGCAAGCCUGAACCAGCCAUGCCGCGUGCAGGAUGACUGUUCUAUGAAUUGUAAACUGCUUUUCUGCGGGAAGAAAUGUACCUACGUGUAGGUAUUUGCCGGUACUGCAGGAAUAAGCAUCGGCUAACUCCGUGCCAGCAGCCGCGGUAAUACGGAGGAUGCAAGCGUUAUCCGGAUUCAUUGGGUUUAAAGGGUGCGCAGGCGGUGUAUUAAGUCAGUGGUGAAAUGCUGCGGCUCAACCGUAGACUUGCCAUUGAUACUGGUACACUUGAAUGUAGUUGAGGUAGGCGGAAUGUGUAACGUAGCGGUGAAAUGCUUAGAUAUUACACAGAACACCGAUUGCGAAGGCAGCUUACUAAACUAUGAUUGACGCUGAGGCACGAAAGCGUGGGGAGCGAACAGGAUUAGAUACCCUGGUAGUCCACGCUGUAAACUAUGAUCACUGGUUGUUGGCAAUAUACCGUCAGCGACUGAGCGAAAGCAUUAAGUGAUCCACCUGGGGAGUACGUCGGCAACGAUGAAACUCAAAGGAAUUGACGGGGGCCCGCACAAGCGGAGGAACAUGUGGUUUAAUUCGAUGAUACGCGAGGAACCUUACCUGGGCUUAAAUGUAGAGUGCAUAGAGUGGAAACAUUCUUUUCCUUCGGGACUCUUUACAAGGUGCUGCAUGGUUGUCGUCAGCUCGUGCCGUGAGGUGUCGGGUUAAGUCCCAUAACGAGCGCAACCCUUGUCGUUAGUUGCUAGCAGGUCAAGCUGAGGACUCUAACGAGACUGCCGGUGUAAACCGAGAGGAAGGUGGGGAUGACGUCAAAUCAGCA
rnacentral:rRNA from 1 species